rnacentral:rRNA from 1 species
AUACGUAGGUGGCGAGCGUUGUCCGGAAUUACUGGGUGUAAAGGGCGUGUAGGCGGGGCGUCAAGUCAGGUGUGAAACUCCGAGGCUUAACUUCGGGUGUGCAUCUGAAACUGAUGUUCUUGAGUGUCGGAGAGGAAAGUGGAAUUCCCAGUGUAGCGGUGAAAUGCGUAGAGAUUGGGAGGAACACCAGUGGCGAAGGCGGCUUUCUGGACGAUAACUGACGCUGAGGCGCAAAAGCGUGGGUAGCAAACAGGAUUAGAUACCCUGGUAGUCCACGCUGUAAACGAUGGAUACUAGGUGUAGGAGGUAUCGACCCCUUCGGUGCCGGAGUUAACACAAUAAGUAUCCCACCUGGGGAGUACGGCCGCAAGGUUGAA